rnacentral:rRNA from 1 species
UACAGAGGGUGCGAGCGUUAAUCGGAAUUACUGGGCGUAAAGCGUGCGUAGACGGUAGCGUAAGUCGGGUGUGAAAGCCCCGGGCUCAACCUGGGAAUUGCAUUCGAGACUGCUCUGCUAGGGUGCGGAAGAGGGAAGCGGAAUUUCCGGUGUCAGCGGUGAAAUGCGUAGAUAUCGGAAGGAACACCAGUGGCGAAAGCGGCUUCCUGGUCCAGCACCGACGUUCAGGCACGAAAGCGUGGGGAGCAAACAGG